rnacentral:rRNA from 1 species
GAUGAACGCUGGCGGCGUGCUUAACACAUGCAAGUCGAACGGAAAGGCCCAAGCUUGCUUGGGUACUCGAGUGGCGAACGGGUGAGUAACACGUGGGUGAUCUGUCCUGCACUUCGGGAUAUGCCUGGGAAACUGGGUCUAAUACCGGAUAGGACCACUUCUUGGAUGUUGUGGUGGAAAGUUUUUUCGGUGUGGGAUGAGCUCGCGGUCUAUCAGCUUGUCGGUGGUGUAAUGGCCUACCAAGGCGUCGACGGGUAGCCGGCCUCAGAGGGUGUACGGCCACAUUAGGACUGAGAUACGGCGCAGACACCUACCAGGGGCAGCAGUGGCGAAGAUUGCACAUAGGGCGCAGGCCUGAUGCAGCGACGCCGGGUGGGCGAUGACGGUCUUCGGGUUGUAAACUCCUAUCGCUAUGGACGAAGCGGUUUGUGACGGUACCUGGAGAAGAAGAACCGGCUAACUACGUG